rnacentral:lncRNA from 1 species
CUGUGCCAUUGUACUUUUUGUUACUCAACAGGUUCAGGACGCCCCUAACAACAGCUCUUGGUAGAGCAGAGGUUUGAGAUCAGGUGUGAAACCUUGCAAAAGAGUCAUUUUCCAGUUUCAGUGUUGCUGGAAUAUCACCACUGGGCAGAGCCCUUGCCUUGCCUCCCACUGGAACACCGAAGAGAGAUGGAAAGGGGCGCACACGGAGGACACUCAGAACAGUCUGUAAGAUUCAACUUAUCUAAGAAACUGCUUGCAACUGAACUUUGAUAGGCACGACUGUGGUGGCAAGAGAGAGAAGCAGUUUGAGGAAGUGCGUCUAGAAGAUACUUAAAAAGGAAUAGAGAGGAAGUUCUCUGCCAUGCAUAUGCAAAUUCCGAUUUGUAUUUGAGCCUGCCA